rnacentral:rRNA from 1 species
AACGUAGGGGGCGAGCGUUGCCCGGAUUCACUGGGCGUAAAGCGGGUGUAGGCGGUUCCUUAAGUCGGAUGUGAAAUCCUACGGCUCAACCGUGGAACUGCAUCCGAUACUGGGGAACUUGAGGACGGUAGAGGUCGGUGGAAUUCCAGGUGUACCGGUGAAAUGGGCAGAUAUCUGGAGGAACACCAGUGGCGAAGGCGGCCGACUGGGUCGAUCCUGACGCUGAGACCCGAAAGCCAGGGUAGCGAACCGG